rnacentral:rRNA from 1 species
GACGGGGCCCGCACAAGCGGUGGAGCAUGUGGUUUAAUUCGAAGCAACGCGAAGAACCUUACCUGGCUUAAAUGUAGAGUGCAUUUUUUAGAGAUAGAAAUUCCCUUCGGGGCUUUCUGCAAGGUGCUGCAUGGUUGUCGUCAGCUCGUGCCGUGAGGUGUCGGGUUAAGUCCCAUAACGAGCGCAACCCUUAUCGUUAGUUGCCAGCUGGUAAAGCAGGGGACUCUAGCGAAACUGCCACCGUAAGGUGAGAGGAAGGUGGGAUGACGUCAAAUCAGCACGGCCCUUAUGUCCAGGGCUACACACGUGUUACAAUGGCCGGCACAGAGGGCAGCUACCUGGUGACAGGAUGCUAAUCUCGAAAACCGGUCUCAGUUCGGAUCGAAGUCUGCAACUCGACUUCGUGAAGCUGGAUUCGCUAGUAAUCGCGCAUCAGCCAUGGCGCGGUGAAUACGUUCCCGGGCCUU